rnacentral:rRNA from 1 species
UACAGAGGUCUCAAGCGUUGUUCGGAUUCAUUGGGCGUAAAGGGUGUGUAGGCGGCGCGGUAAGUCGGAUGUGAAAUCUCGAGGCUUAACCUCGAAACUGCAUUCGAUACUGCGGUGCUUGAGGACUGGAGAGGAGACUGGAAUUCAUGGUGUAGCAGUGAAAUGCGUAGAGAUCAUGAGGAAGACCAGUGGCGAAGGCGGGUCUCUGGACAGUUCCUGACACUGAGGCACGAAGGCCAGGGGAGCAAACGGG